UUUUAAGAACAGAUUAGACAAACACCUGUCAGGUGUUUAGAUAAUACUUAUUCCUUUCAUAAGUGCCGGGGACUGGGCUAGAUGACCUCUCAAUGUCCCUUCCAGUCCUAUGAUUCUAUGAAAAUUAAGCCAUGCAUCAGUCAGGCUUUGCGGGGCUCGGGUGGAUGGGUUGGAAAGGUAUAUUUAAAAUUUAAAAUACAGAGUUGAACUCCACCCACCUUCCCACCCUAGCUCCUCUUUGAAGUGUUUUCCACCAUAAAGUGGCAUUGUAAAAGAGGGCUGAACAGAGCAGGGCUAUUCUAAGUUGCCUAUGUAGCUUUGGAGCAUUCCUGGAAGUAAUAUUAAACAGCAGUAAGUCAUCAGGUACAUUUUCCAUAUUGUAUUGUAUUGCUCAUUUAUUAGAGGCUGGGAGGAUGAGCACCAAACCUCCACAUUUCCUCAUUGCAGCUCCCAUUUCUUUCCUUAUCCAGGACUUUUCCCAGCCUUCAAAUUAAUGCUGAUUAGCAGAAGGACUUUCUGGCUUCCUCUGACCAUGGGCGGGGUUCCAGUAAUGUAGUAUUUUUGGUUGGCACUGUUCUCUCCUGCCACUCCACUCUAUUCUGACCACGCAGGACAUGUUGGUCUCAAGCUGAAUUUUGCCUGCUCAAGGCAUGGAAGCAUGAGAGACCUUCUCUCCUUUCUUUCUUUGGGUUCCUGUCAGCUACAAGAGCUUUCCAAAGCUCCGGUGGCACCCCUCCUGCCAGGUAUUUCAUUGAACAACCUUAAUUUUAAUGUUAAAAUAUUUUUUUUAACACAAUCAAAAUAGAACAGAAAUAUCAAUAGGAGUUGAAAUGCAGAGGCUACUGCUGUCCAAGACUUAAGCAGUGAAAUACACACUUAAAAUUCUCAAAAGAAAAGGAGUACUUGUGGCACCUUAGAGACUAACAAAUUUAUUAGAGC